rnacentral:rRNA from 1 species
UACGAAGGGGGCUAGCGUUGUUCGGAAUCACUGGGCGUAAAGCGCACGCAGGCGGAUUGAUAAGGCAGGGGUGAAAUCCCGGAGCUCAACUUCGGAAUUGCCUUUGAUACUGUCUGUCUUGAGUCCGGGAGAGGUGAGUGGAAUUCCUAGUGUAGAGGUGAAAUGCGCAGAUAUCAGGAAGAACACCCGUGGCGAAGGCGGCUCUCUGGGACGGUACUGACGCUGAGACGCGAAAGCGUGGGGAGCGAACAGG